rnacentral:rRNA from 1 species
UACGUAGGGUGCGAGCGUUGUCCGGAAUUAUUGGGCGUAAAGAGCUCGUAGGCGGUGUGUCGCGUCGGCCGUGAAAACCUGGGGCUUAACUCUGGGCGUGCGGUCGAUACGGGCAUCACUAGAGUUCGGCAGGGGAGACUGGAAUUCCUGGUGUAGCGGUGAAAUGCGCAGAUAUCAGGAGGAACACCAAUAGCGAAGGCAGCUCGCUGGGACGGUACUGACGCUGAGGCGCGAAAGCGUGGGGAGCGAACAGG